AUUUGUCAAAGCAGAUACAUGCCACACCAAAAUUCAAAGGAGAGGGAAAGUGCAGUCGUAUUGUGUGCUUGAUUGAAAGGAGAGAAGAAAAGAAUAUUACUGAGCAUAAAUAAUGACUUCUGUAUUGUGUGCUAGAACGAGAAGCAGAAAGUUAGAAUGCUCCUGAAUUCCUAAUGACCUUACGAGUCGCCAUACCAGCCCUGAACUGCCCACCUCCGGACUUCUUCCAUUUGAGAGAAUAAACUCUCAUGUGUUUAAGUAAUUUUGGGUUUUCUGUCACAUGGAACCAAAUCCAGUGCUAACUGUCUUAUUUCUCCCCCACCAUUCAGGCAUAAUAACAGAUAUUAUUUGAUGAAUUUACUGAGGAGGAGACGAAUCUUUAAGUGCCUGCCAUGCUUUUAGUGACUUCUGAGAAGAGCAGCCACAGAAGUUCCUGACGUGUACAUUUCCAGGUUUGCUUGUGACUGUGUGACUGCAAGUGGAAGGUUCCUCCAUGUCUCAUCUUUAUGUGGCAAGCAGAAUUGUGAUCCGAAAUGAGCCCAGAAGCCAAAUGGAGUUCCAAACUUCAAAACCAGGAAGAGGUCACACGGUGGUGACUAUCACUGCAGGUAUGGCUGGUGCGUAUCAAGAGGACCGGGCCCGAAGGAAAUAUGUCCUAAAACAAAAGCACGAAAAAGAAUUCAAAGGGCAGGCCAUGGUCUAUUAAGGUCUAAAAGUGCUGGAAGACUCCGUGAGUCCUUGUAAGAUGCUGCAAGAACUUGGUUAUCCUUUAUAGAAAUAACCUGUCUUAGCGUGGCUCUCAGUGGCUGAGAAUCCUUCCAGGAUGUUGUGUCUGGAGUUGUCACUAAACGUUUUUCUGUGAUGCUGGAGUGCAAUGACACAAAUCCUAAUGUAACCUAUAGAGGAGACACCAGAUAGGGUCAGGCCGGGACUCACUUCUCCCAAAUAGAAGUGAACUUUACUCUUCCAGAGCAUUCCUGACAUAGAGUCCAUUGGAAAUAACCUAAAGGCUCCCUUUCAAAGACUGGGUUAUAAUUCUUCAAUAAGGAAUUACCAAAAAGUAAAAUUUAAGUCAUUUAGCCAUAUAUACUGCAAGUGUAAUUUUAAUAUCUCUCUUUCCAUUAAAGCUUUGUUCUUAUUUUUUCUUCUCUUACUAACAAAGCAGCUCCCUAGCUGAUUUCCUGUCUGUGGUUUUGGGCUGAGUUAGAGUAUGUGGGUUGAGCCGGCAGCCCACGGUGAGCUCUCUCCCGGUACCAUCUGCGCACCUCAUUUGACACUGAAUCAUGCAUUCUUCUGUCUUAAUGUGUCUCUCAUAUUGCAUCUUGUAUUGUUGUUUAAAGUUUUGUGUGUUUAACUCUUGCCUCUUCAAUUAGCUUGUAAGUUCCUUAAGGUCGGGGACUAUGAUUUAUUCUUCUUUGCAGCCCCCAUAUUGCUGUUCAGUAAAUUGACAAGGAAACAUACUGAAGAAACUCUCUCACACGCUGUCUGAGUUCUCCAUGCCUUGCACAUUAACAUGGCUUCAUAAUCUUCACAAACUUGAAGGGCUGUCUCUAUUUAAGGCACAGUGAUAGGUCCCCAGGAGGGUGCAGUAAGAACAGGUGGGUGGGUGUCAGAAUGGUUUGGUUUAUAUACCAGCUCCAUUGCUCAUUAGUUCUCUGACUUCAGCAAGUUUUUUAACCUCUCUAUAACUCAGUUUCUUCAAAUAUUACAGUGCUAAUAAUCAUGCCUACAUUCUAAAGCUGAUUUAAAGAUUAAGGCAUACAAAUUACUUAGAAGAGGCCCUGGUGUUUAGUAAAUAUCAAUAAAAUGGUGGCUGUUCUUAUUAUCA
rnacentral:lncRNA from 1 species